rnacentral:rRNA from 1 species
CACGUAGGGCGCAAGCGUUGUCCGGAAUCAUUGGGCGUAAAGGGCGCGUAGGUGGCCCGGUCAGUCUUUGGUGAAAGCGCGGGGCUCAACCCUGCGUCGGCCAGGGAUACUGCCGCGGCUCGAGCACUGUAGAGGCAGGCGGAAUUCCGGGUGUAGCGGUGGAAUGCGUAGAGAUCCGGAAGAACACCGGUGGCGAAGGCGGCCUGCUGGGCAGUUUAGCUGACACUGAGGCGCGACAGCGUGGGGAGCAAACAGG